UGGGAGUCGGUGAAAACCUGUCAGCUGGAAAAUGUCCGCGGGUCAGGGCGGAGCGCGAGGGAGAUAUAUAUAUAUAUAAAAUAUAGACAGACGGAGAGACAGAGUGUCAGAAUGAGGGAUUUUACAUCUAUAUAUAUAUAUAUAUCUAGGGAUAGAGAGUCAGUAUGAGGGAGAGAGGCGGGACGGGGCCGAGGUCGGUUUGAGAUGCCCUCGGCUCUGGGCUCACCCACCGUGUGAAGAUGGCCGAGUGUGGGCCGGUGUUUGUGAGGUUUUUGUGCCGGGGGGUGGGGGGAGAUCCAGGAGGGGUUGUCCGAGGCCGCUCCUCCGGUGUCUACUUCAUCCCCGGGGCCGGGAGAAAGAUAUCCCGUCAGCAUUGGAACCGAGGCCCGGUGAACCUGGGUCUGGAGGGCGGUGAGCGGCUCCUGCCUGGGCCUGACUCCUCCCGGUGAUUUAAAACCGAGGAAAUGAGGCUGUGCGGGCCUGGGACUGGGGUGUUCAGCUGCUGGAAGAGGGCCUGACCGCUGAGCCCCCCCGGAUGUGGGGGCGCUGGGCACCAGAGCUUUUGUAUUUAGGCAAAGCCCAGGACCACACUUAGUGCCAGGCUGGGAAAUGGCAGUCAACGUGGUUAUUCUCAGGAGUUGUGUCCACGUGUCUGAAGUCACAUUUUGAAAAUUAGUGUCUUGGCUUUACUGAAAAGGACUUCCCUCUUGUGAUAUAAGCCAAACUUUGGUGCAGAUGUAAAAUCGGAGUCAUUACCUUUAAUGAAAUGAACCCUGAAAAGUCUACUCAUUAUUUUGGUAUUUGCACAGAAAAGCAUGAUGUUUGGAGAAUGUAGGCUUCACUCUCGUAACUUCUCAGGCACUAAACAUCUGUUUCAUGACAAGAGAUUUAUAUCUUGAAGAAACUUAGCAUUUUUGCGUUUUGAUGUGAAUUGCAAUAUAAUUGCAUUCUGGAAAAAUAAUGGAUUUUUAAAGCUAUAAUUUGUAAUAUCAGUUGAAAUAAUGCUCUUUGUUGGAUUCUAUUAUGCCUGCCUGUCUAAAAUAAACUACUGCAAACA